UGCCUCCCAACACGUGUGGGGCCUACAUGAACAGGGCAGAACUGACCCGUCCCACCCGGAACAGCAGGGCUCUGCUUGGAAACCGUACAGACACAUUCCCAUUCAGGCCCGUGGGGGAAAAAUUUUUUUUUACAAAGUCUUACUAUGUAGCCCUGGAACUUACUAUGUAGACCAGGCUGGCCUCCAACUCACAGGCGUCGAGCUGACUCAGCCUUCCUAGUGCUGAAAUUAAAGGCCUGUACCACCACA
rnacentral:lncRNA from 1 species